AUGCUUAUCUGGCAGAGACACCAUAAUCCUGAAAGUGGGUCUCCCAGAGCAAGGGUUGUCCUUUGCACUUUGGAAUUGUUGAUCUCUGUGAUUUCCUCAAGUGUGGGAAACCACAUUGUAGUAACUUGUGGUAGUUGGGGGGCAGCAUGUGCGUUCUGCUUCCGU
ensembl:snRNA U1 U1 spliceosomal RNA